GAUGAAGAACGUAGCGAAAUGCGAUACGUAAUGUGAAUUGCAGAAUUCAGUGAAUCAUCGAGUCUUUGAACGCACAUUGCGCCCCCUGGUAUUCCGGGGGGCAUGCCUGUCCGAGCGUCAUUGCUGCCCUCAAGCACGGCUUGUGUGUUGGGCCUCCGUCCUCCUCCCGGGGGACGGGCCCGAAAGGCAGCGGCGGCACCGCGUCCGGUCCUCGAGCGUAUGGGGCUUCGUCACCCGCUCUUGUAGGCCCGGCCGGCGCUUGCCGACACAUCAAUCUUUUUUCCAGGUUGACCUCGGAUCAGGUAGGGAUACCCGCUGAACUUAAGCAUAUCAAAAGCGGAGG
rnacentral:misc_RNA from 1 species